GGGCCAGUGGCGCAAUGGAUAACGCGUCUGACUUUGGAUCAGAAGUUUCUAGGUUCGACUCCUGGCUGGCUCG
rfam:Danio rerio chromosome 4, GRCz11 reference primary assembly.